rnacentral:rRNA from 1 species
AUCGUACCCCAAACCGACACAGGUGGUCGGGUAGAGAAUACCAAGGCGCUUGAGAGAACUCGGGUGAAGGAACUAGGCAAAAUGGUACCGUAACUUCGGGAGAAGGUACGCUCUCGACGGUGAAGUCCCUUGCGGAUGGAGCUAUUGAGAGUCGCAGAUACCAGGUGGCUGCAACUGUUUAUUAAAAACACAGCACUGUGCAAAAUCGUAAGAUGACGUAUACGGUGUGACGCCUGCCCGGUGCCGGAAGGUUAAUUGAUGGGGUUAGACUUCGGUCGAAGCUCUUGAUCGAAGCCCCGGUAAACGGCGGCCGUAACUAUAACGGUCCUAAGGUAGCGAAAUUCCUUGUCGGGUAAGUUCCGACCUGCACGAAUGGCGUAAUGAUGGCCACGCUGUCUCCACCCGAGACUCAGUGAAAUUGAAAUCGCUGUGAAGAUGCAGUGUACCCGCGGCUAGACGGAAAGACCCCGUGAACCUUUACUACAGCUUGGCACUGAACAUUGACCCUACAUGUGUAGGAUAGGUGGGAGGCUUUGAAGCACGUACGCCAGUAUGUGUGGAGCCGUCCUUGAAAUACCACCCUUGUAGUGUUGAUGUUCUAACGUCGACCCCUUAUCGGGGUUGCGGACAGUGCCUGGUGGGUAGUUUGACUGGGGCGGUCUCCUCCCAAAGAGUAACGGAGGAGCACGAAGGUGGGCUAAUCACGGUUGGACAUCGUGAGGUUAGUGCAAUGGCAUAAGCCCGCUUGACUGCGAGAAUGACAAUUCGAGCAGGUGCGAAAGCAGGUCAUAGUGAUCCGGUGGUUCUGAAUGGAAGGGCCAUCGCUCAACGGAUAAAAGGUACUCCGGGGAUAACAGGCUGAUACCGCCCAAGAGUUCAUAUCGACGGCGGUGUUUGGCACCUCGAUGUCGGCUCAUCACAUCCUGGGGCUGAAGUCGGUCCCAAGGGUAUGGCUGUUCGCCAUUUAAAGUGGUACGCGAGCUGGGUUUAGAACGUCGUGAGACAGUUCGGUCCCUAUCUGCCGUGGGCGUUGGAAGAUUGAAGGGGGCUGCUCCUAGUACGAGAGGACCGGAG